UGGACAGUGAGCAGGAGGCGCCUCGGU
rnacentral:piRNA from 1 species